UACGUAGGUGGCAAGCGUUGUCCGGAAUUAUUGGGCGUAAAGCGCGCGCAGGCGGUUUCUUAAGUCUGAUGUGAAAGCCCACGGCUCAACCGUGGAGGGUCAUUGGAAACUGGGGAACUUGAGUGCAGAAGAGAAGAGCGGAAUUCCACGUGUAGCGGUGAAAUGCGUAGAGAUGUGGAGGAACACCAGUGGCGAAGGCGGCUCUUUGGUCUGUAACUGACGCUGAGGCGCGAAAGCGUGGGGAGCAAACAGG
rnacentral:rRNA from 1 species